ACUCGGAGAAAGAUCAGGCAAACAUCAGACUGCUGAAAAACGCCGGAUACACACACUGGGAAUCUAUUUGAUCCGCGACUUCGUCAAAAUAGCGUUUAGAAAACCUGUUUAUAGGUACAAAGCUUUCUUUUUCUCGCUGUAUUUGCUUCUAUUACUAUUAGAAUAACCGUGAUUCAAAAGCAGAAACCAUGUAGUUAACGAUUCAAACCGGCAAGUUGCAUUACGUUUUCUACAUCCGAUCCAACGACAGGAGUUAAAAUCGGAAAUAUUAGUGGGGCACAUCAAGAAGAAAAGAGAAAGAUGACGUCUGCCGUGACUGAAGCAAUGAUUGAAUCGUAUACGUUAAUGGUCAUCGUGAUGGCAACAUUCUUCAUUUAUUUCUGCGUCAUGGUUUGGGCUUUUUGCAAUCCAAAACUUAGCAGCGAGGAUGAAGACAGUACGACUAAGAAUUCAAAUGAAACUUAUACAUGUAAAAUGCCCAAUAAUGUGAAAUACACGGAAAUUCCAAUGGAACAAAUUCACGUCAUGCAUACUCAAGAAAUGACACAAGGUGUUUUGCAAGAAAGUGACUGGAAUGAAGAGGAAUCUAAAGAUAAGCAUCUUUAUAAAACCUGGAUAUCAUCCAACAGCAAAUCUUAUUAUGUGUAGUAUUCGUAGAAAUUGUUUCAAUAAUUAUUUUAAGUUAAAGCCAGCCUUUUUAAGUUGGAUUUAAUAACCAAUAUAAUAAUAAUUCUUCAGUAACUUACGAAUAGGUGUGAUCAUUUUGAGUCGAAAAUUGCAGCAAAUUUAAAUUCCUUCAUUGCUACAUAAAUGUAAAUAUACAUUGGUCUGACCUUAUGCUGAUAUCCGUUUUAUAAAAAAAAAUAAAAUAAAAAAGCUUACAGUAUUUUUUUAACCCACUAUUGAAUUGGUCAAUAUUGGUCGCGUUGUGAGUAUGAUAGCCUUUAAGAAAAAAAAAUGAUUUAAAUUUCUGGCUGUGUCUUCUAUUUAUUAUUAUUAGUAGUAGUGGAAGUAGUAGUAGUGAUAGUCGUAGUAGUAGUAUAUACUGUACAAUUUCUACUGAGCUGUGGCUAUUGACCUUCAAAUGUUUAAGUGGCGAAGAAUACCUACAGCAACUGUGUAAACCAGGUGCGCCAAUAUUUUAUUUUCUCCCUGUCAAAAAUUAGUCGUUUUCCUUCUUAGUUUUUGAGUUUUUUAUUUAUUAAACGGGGGGUCAAUUUUUGUAUUCUGGCAGAACAUAGGAUAUUUGCUUAUUUAUAAGAAAAAUGGUUCAGUAAUACAGUAUCAUGUUUAUACUAUUUCUCCUUUAUCAAUGUCACUGCAGAGAAGUGAAAUAAGAGCCUCUUUAAUCUGCACUCUGCAGUGAAAUGGAAGAAAACACAAUUCAUUGUCCUCCGUGGUUUCUAAUAACUGUGUCAACUGUCUGCUCAGAAUUAAUCUUUUCCUUUGUUCUAUGUUUCAUACUAAUCGCAAGAUUACUUUAAUGACUUCAUACUGCGUGGGUAGUAUUGAAAUCGUUGUACAUGCAACUUCCUGGACUAUAAUUUUCAAACUACAAUUUCAAACAAUUUUUAUCUUCAUUUUAUUUACAGCUUUAUUUGUUGGCACUGUGGUCCAGUUUCUCCAACAUGCAGUCCCCACAAAGUCCUAAAAAACAAAAAUCAUUAAUUUUUUUAUUGAUUUGGCAAGGGCAGUUGACAGUUUGACUACACCAUUUUUUAUACAUUGAGUCACAGUCUUUAUCAGGCUAUUACAUUCACAACCCAAUUCUUGCGCCCCACAGAAGGAUAAAUCAAGAUGAAUAAACAUGACAAAAUUUCAAAACCUUCUUGUGAGGAAAGCUUCAUAAAACUUGUUUUUUAAGCUUUUUCGGCAUGAGACGUGUUAAAGAAUUCUUUUAUUAUGAAGUUCUGGAAUUUCAAGACAGAUCCUAGAACCACUAAUACAAAAGAUCACAGCAUGUGGCGACAAACAGUGGAGAUCAUCACAGUUGUUUAAGAGAUAUGGAGAAAAAAACCUUGAUAUAACAGCUUUGGAACCUUGUGAGCACUUUAAGGGCCAGAUUGUGGCAUUCAAUUACAAGAACACUAAUGAGGCUGUCAAGUCUGUGGGAGGCUGCGGCUCAGUGAGUUUUUUUCCAUUAUCAGGAAGGGGUACAAACAAGACCAGAUGUUAAUUUCACAGCCAGCUCCAAAGUGCAUCUGAAGCACUUAGCUAUGGAAUGCCAUGGCAAAGUCCAGAUUCAAGUAAACUGGAUCGGAAAAGAACUAGAUUCCAGGGAUGCACCUUUUACAUGUUGUUAUUCUAUGGCAACAAAGUACCAAACAGUUCAUGUCAUAUUUCCAGUUAUUUGUUUGGCAAAAAGGUUUUUCUGCAUGAAGACUUGCACCACUGUCAAAAGAUAGAGAGAAAUGAGCCACUAUCAACUAGAAAGUUUUUGUUCCCUUUUAGGCCACACAUGAUUUGGAGGGAUAAAUCAAUGUAUCAGGACUAGCAUGACCUCGCUGACACACUGACUCAAUGACACACUUAUGUACUGAGACAGUGACUAGGGGACACACUGUUUCCUGACACAAUGACUCGCUGUCACACUGACGCACUUGACGCAGUGAUGUGCUGACACAGUAAUGUGCUGACAAUGACAUCCUGACACAGUGACUUCCACAGAAUCUUUGCUCUGACAUGCCAGCUGUGUUUCCACCCAGCUUUCCCCAGCUUCAAGUCAACCUGUCAAGAUGAGGUUCACAUACCUUAAUCAUAAUCAAGCAAGCAUGCUUUCUGGACAAAUUAGCUUUUACAAGCAUGAUGUAACCCUUCUUAGAUUUCAUAAAGUAUGGUUUGGCAUGAUAGAGCAUGCUGUCACCAUUACUACAGUAUGUAAUGUCCAUAACUUGUGGCUAAUCUGUAUUGUAACUAUUGUACUAAUUGUCAUCACAACAAUCAUGGUACUAUAUGAGAUUAAUAAAACAAUAUGCAGACUACAUUCUCAUUUUUGUAUUUAGAUGCAGUGAGCCCUCUUGAGAACAUUUAAAAUUAAGUUGCCUUUGAGGGGGAUUAGUGCUGCAUCAAGGAUAAAGAGUGACAGAAGCUACUAAAGAGAUGGUAGUUCACCUGCUGAGCAAGGUUUGAAAUAAUAAGAACAUAAAAAUGGUUACAGAUGAGAGGAGGUCAUUCAGCCCAGCUAGCUUGUUUGGUUAUGAGUAAACCACGUGACCCAAGAAUUCUCACCCAGCUGUGUCUAGAAUGGAAUAAGGGUGGCAACUUGGACAACACAGCUGUGUAGCUUGUUUCUUAAUCCCACAACCCUGUUUGUGUAAAAAAAUGCCUUCCUCUUGAGUUAUUUCACAAACUGUAUCAUGCAUUUGUGUUGUACAUUACCAAACCCUGCUCAGUCCUGUUCUCCAUGCAUUGUACCCUGGAACUGCCUUCAGAAAGGAAGGUUGUAGCAUACAAAUGGCAGUUCAAAAUAUUUUUUUAAACUGCACUCCGGUUAAUGAAAAACAAAUUAAAGAAAUAUGAAGAGCAUAGGUGUUAAAUCUUGGCGGAGAAAAUAGGGUUUUCAUACAUGUUUUAUGCAACAUUAUCACCAAAUCCAAAGAACUGCAGAGCCACUAUACUGCAAUGAAAGUUGUCAUGAAAAAUAUUUUCUUUUCUCUUAUCUUUUACUCAAUGAGAGUUAAAAGUGGUCCCCAUGUACUUAUAUUAUCUUACUUUGGACUUGUGGUUAACUGUAUUUCACAGAUAAACAAAGAAGCCUGUCUGUGCUGGAUGAA